rnacentral:rRNA from 1 species
UACGUAGGGUGCAAGCGUUGUCCGGAAUUACUGGGCGUAAAGGGCUCGUAGGCGGCCAACUAAGUCAGACGUGAAAUCCCUCGGCUUAACCGGGGAACUGCGUCUGAUACUGGAUGGCUUGAGUGUGGGAGAGGAAUGCGGAAUUCCAGGUGUAGCGGUGAAAUGCGUAGAUAUCUGGAGGAACACCGGUGGCGAAGGCGGCAUUCUGGACCAUUACUGACGCUGAGGAGCGAAAGCCAGGGGAGCAAACGGG